rnacentral:rRNA from 1 species
GACGAACGCUGGCGGCGUGCCUAAUACAUGCAAGUAGAACGCACAGUUUAUACCGUAGCUUGCUACACCAUAGACUGUGAGUUGCGAACGGGUGAGUAACGCGUAGGUAACCUGCCUGGUAGCGGGGGAUAACUAUUGGAAACGAUAGCUAAUACCGCAUAAUAUUAAUUAUUGCAUGAUAAUUAAUUGAAAGGUGCAAUUGCACCACUACCAGAUGGACCUGCGUUGUAUUAGCUAGUAGGUGAGGUAACGGCUCACCUAGGCGACGAUACAUAGCCGACCUGAGAGGGUGAUCGGCCACACUGGGACUGAGACACGGCCCAGACUCCUACGGGAGGCAGCAGUAGGGAAUCUUCGGCAAUGGACGAAAGUCUGACCGAGCAACGCCGCGGGAGUGAAGAAGGUUUUCGGAUCGGAAAGCUCUGUUGUAAGAGAAGAACGGGUGUGAGAGUGGAAAGUUCACACUGUGACGGUAUCUUAACAGAAAGGGACGGCUAACUACGUG